rnacentral:rRNA from 1 species
ACGAACGCUGGCGGCGUGCUUAACACAUGCAAGUCGAGCGACAGUGUUCUUCGGAACAUAUGGAGCGGCGAACGGGUGAGUAACACGUGGGCAACCUGCCCUCAGCUCUGGGAUAACUCCGGGAAACCGGGGCUAAUACCGGAUACGACCUGCUCUGGCAUCUGAGUGGGUGGAAAGUUCUUCGGCUGAGGAUGGGCCCGCGGCCUAUCAGCUUGUUGGUGGGGUAAUGGCCUACCAAGGCGACGACGGGUAGCCGGCCUGAGAGGGCGACCGGCCACACUGGGACUGAGACACGGCCCAGACUCCUACGGGAGGCAGCAGUGGGGAAUAUUGCGCAAUGGGCGGAAGCCUGACGCAGCGACGCCGCGUGAGGGAUGACGGCCUUCGGGUUGUAAACCUCUUUCAGCAGGGACGAAGCGCAAGUGACGGUACCUGCAGAAGAAGCACCGGCCAACUACGU